AAACAUCGCCUCUUGAACAGAUAUAAGAGGUCCAGCCUGCCCGGUGAUACAAUUUAACGGCCGCGGUAUACUGACCGUGCGAAGGUAGCAUAAUCACUUGUUCUUUAAAUGAGGACUAGUAUGAACGGCACCACGAGGGCUUUACUGUCUCCUCCCUUCAAUCAGUGAAACUGACCCCCCUGUGAAGAGGCAGGGAUACUACUAUAAGACGAGAAGACCCCAUGGAGCUUUAAACCCAACAACAGCCCAAACACCACCACCCCUAAAAGUUUUAACGGUAUUGCUAGUUGGUUUUAGGUUGGGGUGACCGCGGAGUAUAAACUAUCCUCCACGACGAACGGGCCUACCCCCUUACCCAAGAGCUACACCUCUAAGGAUUAACACAUUAACGUAAAAUGAUCCAAAUAUUUGAUCAACGAACCAAGUUACCCUGGGGAUAACAGCGCAAUCCAUUUUUAGAGCCCCUAUCGACAAAUGGGUUUACGACCUCGAUGUU
rnacentral:rRNA from 1 species